GGGCCUAUAGCUCAGUUGGUAGAGCAUCCGCUUUGCAUGCGGGAGGUCUAGGGUUCAAUUCCCUAUGGGUCCA